rnacentral:lncRNA from 1 species
AUUUCUAUAAAUGAUGAUUUUGGAAGAUUUAAGUGAAUAAUGACCUAACAAGAGCUUGACAAAGUUGAUGUUGUUUUCAAUGACACUGAUUUUUUAAAAAUAUAAUAGGAUUGACAUUUUGGACAAUUUCAUGAAUUUGAUAACAGAUCUAUAGAUGAAAUUUUUUAAGUUUAUGGAUGUAGUUGUGCUUGAUGUGUGUUUUGAAUAUGAAUUUGAUAUAACUAUUAGAUUGAAAAGCAUGAAGGUUUUGUAG